rnacentral:lncRNA from 1 species
UUUGUUUUUCGUCGUCAAAUUGUACUUUCGAAAUGGUGAUCAGAUCUCUCUCUAUCUAUCUUUCUUAUAAUUUGUCUAUGGCCCUGUCGGUUAUAUAUAUAUUUGUUUCCUCUUUUAAGGAUGAGUAAUACCUUAAUUUCCGGAGUGUGACAUUUUUAUCUUUAUUUUUCUUUAGUUGUUGUAAUUAUUCUUCCUUUAUUUUUAAAUUCAUAGAAAAAGGAAUGAAAUACAAGCGGUCCAUAAUGCAUAUUCUAAGGGAAGAUCCGAUUUUGGAGCAUGAUGGUCAUAACGUGCGUUCCUUACUGCUUUGCUUGUCCGAAAAAUAUACUACUACUAAGUACUAAAGUACUAAUUUUUUUUUUUUGCUAUUAAAAAAUAAAAUAAAAUAUUAUGCCUAGUUUGUUUUUUUUUCCUUAUUCCUAUAAAUUUUAAUAAAAGAGAAAAUCUAAUAUUUCCAU